UGGGGAAUCUUGCACAAUGGGGGAAACCCUGAUGCAGCGACGCCGCGUGAGCGAUGAAGCCCUUCGGGGUGUAAAGCUCUUUCGACAGGAACGAUAAUGACGGUACCUGGAGAAGAAGCUGCGGCUAACUACGUGCCAGCAGCCGCGGUAAUACGUAGGCAGCAAGCGUUGUUCGGAGUUACUGGGCGUAAAGGUGCGUAGGCGGUUUCGCAAGUUUGGGCGUGAAAUCUCCCGGCUUAACUGGGAGGGUGCGCCGAAGACUGCGGGGCUGGAGUGUGGGAGAGGUAAGCGGAAUUCCUGGUGUAGCGGUGAAAUGCGUAGAUAUCAGGAGGAACACCGGCGUGUAGACGGCUUACUGGACCAUGACUGACGCUGAUGCACGAAAGCGUGGGGAGCAAACAGGAUUAGAUACCCUGGUAGUCCACGCCCUAAACGAUGCACACUUGUGUGAGCGAUUCAUUUCGUUCGUGCCGGAGCUAACGCGUUAAGUGUGCCGCCUGGGGAGUAC
rnacentral:rRNA from 1 species